rnacentral:lncRNA from 1 species
CUCAGCCUAAUCCCAAUGAUUACCCAAUGGGACUGUAAAGUGUAAAUGAAGCAGUCAUUGCCUGGUGACUGACUACUUGAGCUCCAGCACACGCCACCUUAUCGCUGCCACUUUCUGCAGCUCUCUAAGAUUCACUUACUGUUAAGACUUUUAACAUUCACUUGGAAUCGCCGCGUUGUGACAAACUGAGAUCACAGCUCUUCCAGCUCCUGCACUGGAAGGAAAGCACCUCAAAUCCAAUGCCAUUUUGGGAUGACAGAGUAAUCAAGCAAAAAUACAAACACGACGUCAGCCAUGCAGGUUCCUUCUGCGGCGGGGUCUGCAGGACUGCCACCAGCUUUCUCCUGAAACACAACGCUGCUGGGCUGAAGGACUUCUAGGCUGAGUUCCCCGUGCCUUUAGCAGUGGAGUGCUGUAAAGGAGGACCAAAACCUCAAAGGAAAGGAAAGUCACAGCUUUUUGGGAAAACGACUUUGAAAUCGGACGCAGGAAUUAAGUGACUUCAAUCCCAAACACUCAGUAGAAUUCAAAGCUUGAUUGCAGGCUUGUUUGUUUGUAUCUGGUCUUUCUGAUGUGCUGAGAAAAUGCGGUGCUGCUGAGAAAAGUUCCGUAUGGCAGGGUGUUCUCAGAACGAGCUCCUGGCGCUAUCUUGUUUCUUCUGUCCAGCGACAGCACUGUGUUACCUUGCUUGGAUCUGUCUUUUCCUUCUUUCAGGUCACGGGCUCCUUGGAAGCACUGCCCCUGGGGUGGUCCGAGCCACCAAGAAGGGAAGCUUUCUGCUGAGGGGUAGCAGCCCGUGAUCCUGAUCUCCUCAGGCUGUCCAGUGUGUGACAACCUGCCUCUGGAAAAGCUUCCUCUCACUCUUUCUUUCCAUUCCUCUCUCCCUGAAGGGCGCCGACUGUGUGCUCUGCUUGAAGCCCCAUGGGGCAGAUGCCCUGAGCAGCCUCGCUCCUUUGAGGAAGGUGUGAUGGAAUGGGCUUCUGGCCGGGGCUGUCCAGUCUGUAGGCCACCUUUCCCUGCCACGUGCAGCUCCAGCCACGGGUAUGAGGAGGCAGAGAAGCCAGCCCCAGCCUCCCCGGGAGAGGGGAGGCCGCAGUCAGAUCAUUGCAAACAGGACUUCAUUAAUUAUAAAUGGACAAGUUCCCCUGAGCUGCUGUAGCUCUGCAUGAGUCACAUUCUAACUGAGUUUUCUCUCUGUUUUCUUUUUCUUCUUCUUCUUCUUUCUCUUGAAGAGUUGUUGAAGGGUUGAAAUACUGUGAUGGAUAAAUAAGGAGCCAGCUGUGCUCUGCAGUCAGCCCCACCAGAGCCUUUCUGCAGCAGUAGCCCGCAGCAGUCUCCUCUCUGCCUCACUCUUCACUCCCAUCCCCCGGGUUCUGCCAUCUGUUCUCGCUCUCCAGGUUUCUUCUCCCUCACAGUGGCAUAUUUUGCUCUCAUGCUGUAAGUUCCUUUCCAGCAUGUGGUCUCAGCCCUCAGUGGUGCAUGGAUGUAUGUUCAUACAACAGCAUGACCAAAGGGCUCAGUUGUAGGACACCCACUUGGUUCGGCUGUGCCUCCCUCUUUCAUCUUGGAGAUGGCCCUGGUUAGACAAAAGGAGAAGGAGCAACAAACCCAGCAAACCUUGGCUUUCUGUUAGGAGCUGUCAGACAGUUUUUGUUCUGAUUUCUGACAAUAUGCUGGCAUAUAUUCCCUCACAAGGGAAGGUUGGGAUGUGUCCUGGGGCUCUGAGGGAUGGACACAUCAAGAGUGGAUGGGGUGGCUGGAGGGCCAGCAUGAGUGUAUGGACAGAGCUGUCCCCAAAACCUGCCUUGCAGCUUGUCAGUCCUUUGGGAACAUCUCCUUCCCUGGGCAUCCUGUCAGCAUGAGUGCUGAACUCCGUGUCUGUCAUGGCACAGCCAAGGUUUGGAGUGGUGUUUCUGGAGGCUUUGCUGGCUAUGCUUUCAAGCCCAGAAACUGCUUUUCUUGCUUCCUCAAUGUGCUUGGUUUCAGAGGUGCCCUCCAGAGGUGCUUGAAUUGCUGCCUGGAAGCUGUUUCUCCAUCCAGCUCCCCAGGGCUACUGUGCCCUUGCUCCUUGAGGUGGUUCUUUUCAGUGACUUGUACCUCCAAAAGACUGGCUGUGCACCCUGAUUUGUGAACUUGGGUGACUGGUUGGCCUUCUCCUGCAUCUCAGCCCUCAGCAGGGGGGAAUGCUCCUUCUUAACCCAUGAACUUCAGGCAGCUCCCGAAUCCAUGGAAUGUGUCCCAUCUGCAGCGCGUUAGGGGUCCACUCGCAGCAGAGGAAGAAGCACAUGUGGGUUGUGAACCCUUCAGAAGAGGAAGAAAACAAGCUAAUUAAUCUAAAGGAUGUGGUGCCAGGAGCUACAUCUGUGGGCCAACUGGCCCUGGAAGCGUGGUUCCCAGGUGCUACUCAUCCAAGGGGGUAUUGCAGAGGUGAUGGGGGCAUGAAGGGUGGAAGAAUGAGGGUGCAAGGGGUCCGGGCACAGAGGAACCCCUGCUUCCUAUUCUUUGAGGGGACUGAAGGAGGACUGACCCUCAGCCAUCCCUCCAGGAUACAGACCACCUUUUCCCACUCAGCCUCUUUCACCAGGCACUGUGACUUUGAUUCUCAGCUGCCCAAGCACUCCUGUUUCUCCACCAUAAUGGUGGUGGGAAGGACGGGCCACGUUGGCAGCACGGUGCACCCUUGCUCCUCUUCUCUUCAGGUCCCAGUGAGCACCUUCCUUUCCACCCUAGCCUCAAGGGCUGCCUCGUUCCCCCUGGUAUGCUGCUGGCCAUGGAAAGUGUGAACUUGGGGAGGUGCCACAACUCCAUCUCACCUUGGCCUCUCCUUUGCUGCUCUUUCAGCCACCCCAGAGCUGGUGCAGGGAAUUACAAGGAGGUGGACGUGGUGCUUCUGCUUUGCUCACCUGCAGCUCGCCCUCCUGGACCACGCUCUGUGCUGUUGAACUCCACUCACCACCCUCCCCUGCUGCUAAUCUCUCUUCUCAGGCGUGGGUUUGAUCUCGGCGGCGAGCCGCCCGCCCGGCCGCUCUCUGUCUGCUCCUUCUCAGUGCAUUUAAAGCAGCCACUGGGAGCCAACCUUCCACCCCCGUGUGCCCACACGGAAGAAGAUAGGAGGAUUUGACGUCUAUUGAUGGAUGUGACUCCUGGAAGGCGUCUCUUAGCUGAAGGACCCGGAGCUUUCAGGUGAGUCCUUUUCUACAAGUAAACGCGUAAAUCUCCGAGCUGGGUUUGGGGCUGUGUGAGAGCGCUGAAAGCAGACUGCGACGGCAGUAAGGCUCUUCACACCGGCGGAUGCCACCAGGGCAGCAGGCAGGCAGAGGAGACGCUGCGGCUCCCGAG